GCAAACAUCUUAGUUAUCUUUAUUUCUUGCAGGGUAUUAUAGAAAAAGCGAAGAUCAAAGGAAUUCCAAUCAUUAUUGAUGCUGAUGGACUGUGGCUCAUUUCCCAGCAGCCUUCUCUUAUUCAAGGCUACCAGAGAGCUAUUCUGACUCCAAACUACAUGGAGUUUAGCAGACUAUAUGAAGCCAUGCUUAGAGACCCUGUAGACAGUAGUGAUCAUCAUGGAUGUGUGUUAAGACUCAGCCAAGCCAUGGGGAAUUUGACAGUGGUUCAAAAGGGAGAACGAGAUCUAAUUUCAGAUGGAGAGAAAGGUAAGUGAAGCCUUUGCUU